GAAAUGCGAUAAGUAAUGUGAAUUGCAGAAUUCUGUGAAUCAUCGAAUCUUUGAACGCACAUUGCGCCCCCUGGUAUUCCGGGGGGCAUGCCUGUUCGAGCGUCAUUUCACCACUCAAGCCUCGCUUGGUAUUGGGCGACGCGGUCCGCCGCGCGCCUCAAAUCGACCGGCUGGGUCUUUCGUCCCCUCAGCGUUGUGGAAACUAUUCGCUAAAGGGUGCCGCGGGAGGCCACGCCGUAAAACAACCCCAUUUCUAAGGUUGACCUCGGAUCAGGUAGGGAUACCCGCUGAACUUAAGC
rnacentral:misc_RNA from 1 species